GUGCUAGCUUCAGCAGCACAUACACUAAAAUUGGAAUGAUACAGAGACAAUUAGGAUGGCCUCUGCACAAGAAUGAGAAGAGAGAAGAACCACAUGGUC
rnacentral:snRNA from 1 species